GACGAACGCUGGCGGCGUGCCUAAUACAUGCAAGUCGAACGCAGUGGGGACGGGUGAGUAACACGUGGGUAACCUCCCAUCAGAGGUGAUAACACUUGGAAACAGGUGCUAAACCGAUCCUGAUGGAUGGACCCGCGGUGCAUUGGCUAGUUGGUGCGGGCACGGCUCACCAAGGCAACGAUGCAUACCCGACCUGAGAGGGGGAUCGGCAACACGGGGACUGAGAAACGGCCCAGACUCCUACGGGAGGCAGCAGUAGGGAAUCUUCGGCAAUGGACGAAAGUCUGACCGAGCAACGCCGCGUGAGUGAAGAAGGUUUUCGGAUCGUAAAACUCUGUUGUUAGAGAAGCGGUAUCUAACCAGAAAGCCACGGCUAACUACGUGCCAGCAGCCGCGGUAAUUC
rnacentral:rRNA from 1 species